rnacentral:rRNA from 1 species
UACAGAGGUCUCAAGCGUUGUUCGGAUUCAUUGGGCGUAAAGGGUGCGUAGGUGGCGCGCUAAGUCAGGUGUGAAAUUUCGGAGCUUAACUCCGAAACUGCAUUUGAUACUGGCGUGCUUGAGGACUGGAGAGGAGACUGGAAUUCAUGGUGUAGCAGUGAAAUGCGUAGAGAUCAUGAGGAAGACCAGUGGCGAAGGCGGGUCUCUGGGACGCAACUGACGCUGGAGAACGCGAAAGCGUGGGGAGCAAACAGG